AGCCCUAGAGAUUUGAUUAUCUUCAAUAUGCUCUUCAUCUUUGUUUUCGACCACUCCACGGUAAUUAAUUUUUUUCCUUGCAGUCUCGAACUAAAAAGAACUCAGGUUUCUUUUUCGUAACCCUGGUGAUUAAUUGAGAGUAUUCCAUAGAUUCGAAUGUGCUAUGCUGGGAUCCAGAUUUUUCAAAUGGCGUGGUCAGAAUUGUCUCGACAAUGAUAUGUAUUAAGUGAAAAUAAAUUAGGCUUUUUCUGUUAAUGUGUUGAUUUAUUAUGAUUUUUAAUAUUUAUGUUUUUAUUUAAUUUUGAGUUUAUUUUCCUUGGUUUUUUGCUUUCAAAUAAUUUUCAUUUAUUCGGUUUGAUACAUAUGAGAGUGAUUGUGUUGUUGAUUUGUAUUUUGGGCUUCAUACAUGUUCAUGUUGUACAAAGGAUUAAUCUUUUUGGCAUUGGUAGUUUGUUAUCAUGAUUUAUAUGGGGAUGCAUUUGUUGGGAGAUUUCUUUCUCAGUUGGUUCUUAAAAAGAUGACUGGAGAGUGCGUAAGAGAUGGUUGUUAUGCAUGUAAUGCCAUUAUUAAGAGGUGGGUUGCUUGUACAUAGAGAAGCUAGAUUUCUUUAAUUGUGCAUUUUUAGUUGAAUAUUGAAAUAUGAUAAAAUCUUAUUGCUAAUAUUUUACUAUAUUGGUCUACUUACAAUAUUUGUUGCACAUCUAUGAGCUCUAUUUUCUUGCGUGCUACAGGUUAUCAUAUUAUGAUUAGCAUAUGUAUCACUCCAUCUGUUUUGUUUUAUGGGGAAACGAAAAUCUAUAUUUGAAACAAUGGAGUGAAGCAAUAGAAGUUUGCGCUAAGUGAUCAAAUUCUUAAUAGUAUAUAUUUCAAUUAUUUUAUGAUUUAACAUUUCUGUAAUAUAUAUCUUUGGCCACUUUUAUAGAUGGAAAAAGAUGAAUAAUCGAGUUGAUAACAAUAUUUUCAAUUAAUUCUCUAUCCAUAUUUGUAAAAUAUAAUUUAUUUUUUUAAAGGGUUAAGUAUCAGAUUGCCCCUUAUCGAUGGCGUCCCUAUGGCCUUUAGCCCUCUAAAGUCAGAGGGGAGAGCUGCCCACUACCUUAACGUGGCUUUUUGGCACCAAUUUCCCUCCAGCUUUUCGAUUGAGGCAGCUCUCCCCCAUGACUUUAGGGGGCUAAACACGAGGGGGACCCCUAUCGAUUGGGGGGAAAUUGGUGCUAAAAAGUCACGUUGAGGUAGUAGGCAGCUCAGGCGAGGGGGACCCUUAUCGAUAGAGGGGAAAUUGGUGCAAAAAAGUCACGUUGAGGAACGAGGAAAAUUGAAAUAAGGAAGAGCAAGAGAAAGAUGAGAAGACAUUUAAUGUGACAUUGUCACUUAGAUGAUGUAUGUGCAUUUUUCCCGUAGCUAGAUGAAUAUAGAUAUUUGAUAUUUGAUAUUUGAAUUUAGAUUUCUUAUUAAUAUAGACAUAAAUCAAUUUAGGUGUUUUCACUGACAUUUAUAUAAUAUUUAUUUCAUGUUCAA